rnacentral:rRNA from 1 species
GACGAACGCUGGCGGCGCGCUUAACACAUGCAAGUCGAACGGAAAGGCCUGCUUUCCCUUGUGGAUUGCGGGUACUCGAGUGGCGAACGGGUGAGUAACACGUGAGUGAUCUGCCCCCAACUUGGGUAUAAGCCUGGGAAACUGGGUCUAAUUCCCGAUAGGACUGCAGGGUGGUGCCUGUGGUGGAAAACGAUUUUCUAGUGGUUGGGGAUGAGCUCGCGGCCUAUCAGCUUGUUGGUGGGGUAAUGGCCUACCAAGGCGGCGACGGGUAGCCGGCCUGAGAGGGUGGACGGCCACAUUGGGACUGAGAUACGGCCCAGACUCCUACGGGAGGCAGCAGUGGGGAAUAUGGCACAAUGGGCGGAAGCCUGAGGCAGCGACGCCGCGUGGGGGAUGACGGCCUUCGGGUUGUAAACUCCUUUCGACCGCGAGGAAGCCACCUGGUUGGAAGGGUGGUGACGGUAGUGGUAGAAGAAGCACCGGCUAACUACGUG